rnacentral:rRNA from 1 species
UACGAAGGGGGCUAGCGUUGUUCGGAAUUACUGGGCGUAAAGCGUGCGCAGGCGGCUUCUCAAGUCAGGGGUGAAAGCCCAGAGCUCAACUCUGGAAUUGCCUUUGAGACUGAGUGGCUUGAGUACGAGAGAGGUGAGUGGAAUUCCCAGUGUAGAGGUGAAAUUCGUAGAUAUCGGGAGGAACACCAGUGGCGAAGGCGGCUCUCUGGGCAGAUACUGACGCUGAGACGCGAAAGCAUGGGGAGCAAACAGG